AGAAAAAUUCAUUAACCCAUUUUAAACGGAUACAUAGGCCUCCUAUAAUGCUAUUCGCAUCGAAAAGCCUAUUAACAGGAAUGUACGUGAAAAGAAAAUAUAUAACUCAGUAGUCACUGCAGUGAGUGAUAGAGAGCGCAUUUUCUCGUUGACGAAAAUGUUAAGUCACCGAAGGACGGACACAUGACGAGCACAAUAGCGCCAUUUUUUUACAUAAAUGAGAAAAUGCGCUAAAAACAAUCUGAUAUUCUUGAACUCAAGAUAACGGAUAAAAAGGUUUCUUCCACCAUCCCAGUCGAAUUUUUCGCUCCAUUUCAGGCCGCCCGAGGACAGACAGUCUGCUUUGGGGUGACUCAGGUGCCUAUAUCGGCCACCUAACUGCAAUCAUCGGCUAUAUAGGAGCCGACUGGGGGAGUUGAUUGCAUGAUAGGCCGAAUAUACGUAAUCAGGCCGAAAAAAGCAGCUGGCUAGGCUUCUGUGGCCAGACGCUGUUAUUUGAGCGAGCCAUUGCCAUCUCCCGCUCAUCAUACGGCGUCGAUGUAUGUUCACGCGUACGUUUGUUUGAUAAGUCAUAUCAUGAAAGAAAAUGCGAAUUGACUUUACAAUUUUUUCAGCUUUCGUGGUACCCAUUGCGUACGUGACAAAAAUCAUUGACAAACUUGAUAGAGAGCGUGGCAGCAAAAAAUAAAUCACUUUAGCUCCAUGAGAAAUUUGCUUAUCAUAAGAUUAAUGACUGAUAUGUAAUUGGCAGAACCAGCAAUAGAUGAACGUUCGAUUUUACAUUCUGGGCCAACAAGUUUAUAUUAAUAUUCAGUUUACUAUGAUGUUGGUAUGGAACUACUUGAUAUAGUUAUGGCUGUGCACUGCCUGGUGACAGGCAUUGUAGAUUACAAGUUAUCUUCUGUUGUCCAAACAAGGUCUAAGAAAUUGAACUAUACCGUAUACGGGUCAAGAUAAUAUUGUGGUACGGUUGACAAAAUUCCUAAUGUAGUCUGACAUGGAAUUCUAAAAAAUAUGAUAGCGAUAACGGGUGAAUAAAUGUAACGACUUAUUGCGACAUAAAUUACGUUACUUGUCCUAAGCAUGUAACAAAGCUUAAAAUUUCGCCCGAACGCACUACAGCGCUUUGUUGAAGCUGCAGCACCAACAGCAGCAGGGCAGUGGACAGCGAACUAACAUGUUCCAACCAGUCGGCAGUCUCCACUAAGUCCACAUCGUCAGUGUUCAGCGUGGCAGCGUGGAUUAUGUCCAUUUGUGAGCUGUGUUUAGAUUUUUGAUGGAAAAUUGGCAUUUUAACAGAGUGCUUGCUGUUGACAGAAACGACUCCAGGAACCGGUCCCGAAUGGAAAUUUGUCGCAAGCUAUGACAUCCAAAGCUAUUAGACACACGCACAUACUAACUCAUGGGUUCAACACACUUCCUUGAAGCAUAAUUAAGAAACUGGACGAGUUGAGUACAUCUGAGAUCGUGGGUUGCGAAGGUGGCCGACGUUGCGUCUCUGUCGUCCGCCCCAGUUUGGUUGUCUCCACGACUUUGGCUCUGCGGUCGCCUUCGCUGGAAUCUACAUAGCGGUACAGAAGAAGAGUUCAAGCGUCCUGGGACUGACGAUGGAGAGAGCGAAUAUUUUAAGCUGGUACCGUGGAAGAGUGCAUUAUGCUUUUGGCGUGGUCGAAUGCAUGGUGAUGAUGACGUGGAAGAGUGCAUGAUGCUUUUGGCGUGGUCGAAUGCAUGGUGAUGAUGACGUGGAAGAAUGCAUGAUGCUUUUGGCGUGGUCGAAUGCAUGGUGAUGAUGACGUGGAAGAAUGCAUGGUGCUUUUGGCGUGGUAGAAUGCAUGGUGAU